rnacentral:rRNA from 1 species
AUUGAACGCUGGCGGCAGGCCUAACACAUGCAAGUCGAACGAGUGGCGGACGGGUGAGUAAUGUCUGGGAAACUGCCCGAUGGAGGGGGAUAACUACUGGAAACGGUAGCUAAUACCGCAUACAAUCGGAUGUGCCCAGAUGGGAUUAGCGUGUGGGUGGGGUAACGGCUCACCUAGGCGACGAUGCCUAGCUGGUCUGAGAGGAUGACCAGCCACACUGGAAAGAGGACACGGACCAAACUCCUACGUGAGGCAGGAGUGGAAAAUAUAGCGGAAUGAGCACGAGCGUGAUGGAACCAUGCCGCGUGUAUGAGAAAGGCCUUCGGGUUGUAGAGUACUUUAAGCGGGGAGGCGUUACUCGCAGAAGAAGCACCGGCUAACUCCGUGCCAGCAGCCGCGGUAAUAC